GCAACUUCACGUUGCGCCGCACCAUACAUCCAAACACCUCAAGAAUGCGAACCUUUCAAUAUCAUACCCCGACGAAAGCCUCUACUGUAGAUAUACAGCCUUGUAGUAGAAUGUCAUGUCAGGUAGCUAUUGAUAUAGAAGAAGCGUCAACUAUUGUCAGAUAGGAAAAACAUGCAAGUAACGUUGGAAGGUAGGCGUGCGGUGUAAAUCACGAUUAGUUAGUUAAAAUUUGCUUAAAAUCUACUAUUUUUCUACUUAAUAUUAAUCUCUUUUUACGUAUUACAGUUAAAAUUCUUAAUACUAAGUGAAUUUGCUUAUCCUAGACUAAAAGUGAACUAAAAAACAACACAAAUAGUACGGCGUAGGAAUCACAGGUUAGUUUCUAUGCUGUUGAUACGAAAGUAGAAAAUUCUCUAAAAAUUAAACUUAAUUAUACAGCCUUUAUCCGUGAAAUCUUCCCGAAACGGUAGUAAACGUGUGACAAACUAAAAACACGUUCAAUUCAGGUAACUUGGAUAUUGUGAUCUUGUAAUACUAAACCUAACAUGAAAUUUGUAAGUUGUAGCAAGCUCUCAUCCGAUCUUGAAGUUAAACGCAAUACCGAGAACACAGAAGAGAUACUAAACGUGAGUAAACCUUUUUUUAUAAAGAUAUUUGAAUUAGACUUACACAAAGAAACCAAAACUUAAAACCAAUAUGUACAACAUAAAACAAAAAAAUGUACAACACUUUGCCUAUGAUUAUCUACUCCAUAGGAAUUUUUUAACGUUGUCCCAAAUAAACUACGUUCAGAAAAUUGGACAUCUGUCUCUUUUUCGUUGCAAUUGCAACAUUUUAAAAAAUUCGUUUAUUCGCGAUCGGGGAGGCUAAAAUAUGUCGAAAAACCGUGGGAAAGUUGCGAUGCCAGGUGUGAGUUGUGGUGUGUGCAAAAAUCCAGAUGAUAGCCGAAUGGUGUGCUGUGACGACUGUGGUGGAUGGUUCCAUUUCGAGUGCGUGGGAGUUGAUCAAGGGAUCGAGGAAGCAGAUUGGAGUUGUGCAUCGUGCGAAGCAAAGCGAGCGGCUCAGAUCACACCGACCCGUUUGACAGUCCCGGUACCAGAAGGAGCAGCCAGAUCAUCAGCCAGCGCCCAGGAGCAGCGGAACAGGCAACUCGAAAGACAACUGAUGGAGUUCGAGGGUCAAAUGCAACUGAUGCAGCGGAAAUUCGACGAACAGCAACAGUCGUACGAAAGAAUGCUCGCGGAGAAAGAUCGUGAGUUGACAAAUGCAGUGGACGAUUUGCAGCGCCAGUUCCAGCGUCGCUUGGAGAAAAAGGAGCAACAAAUUCGGGACGAGCUGACUGCAUCUGCAGCUGUACCGAGUGCGAAUUCAACUACACUGGGAGUAGAUAAUCGUGCAGCGACUAACGUGUGCGACGUCAUCGAACGAAUGCGGAAGCAGCUGGAAGAGAUGGCGAAAAAGCAAGAGUUGGAGACGAAGCGACUUGAAGGCCGAUUAAGGGCAAUGGAAAUCAACACCAGCGAUCCUGUAGGAAGGAGCAGCAGUGGUCUGAACGUUAAUGCGGAUCCAUUUGACCCGGACCGUAGUUCUGGCGUGUCGUCGGUAGCUAAUCCUCACGAACUAAGCAGAAGUCAACUCGCUGCGCGGCAAGCAGUGGCGAAGGAACUUCCCAUCUUUUCCGGAAACCCCGAGGAGUGGCCGCUUUUCAUCGCAACAUAUGAAAGCACGACUAAAAUGUGCGGUUUCAGUGACGAGGAAAACCUACUACGGCUUCAACGGAGUUUAAAGGGCAAAGCACUCGAGGUGGUAAGGAGUCGGCUUUUGUACCCAGCCGGGCUUGGGGGUGUCAUCAAUACGCUACGAACACUGUUUGGUCGACCAGAGGUGAUCGUUCAUUCGCUAGUUUGCAGGAUUCGGGAGAUGCCAGCGCCGAAGACGGAGAAGUUGGGGACUUUGAUCGACUUCGGUGUCGCAGUCCAGAACAUGUGUGCAACGAUCGUAGCCUGUGGAUUAAACGAGCAUCUUUGUAACGUGGCACUUCUUCAAGAGCUUGUUGAGAGACUACCGCCAACUAUCAAGCUUGACUGGGCGAAGCACCGUCAAACCUUGCAAGCAAUCACACUAUCAGACUUCAGCAAUUGGUUGGGAACACUCGUAGAGGCAGCAUGCGUAGUGACGGUUCCGUCUUCGAUUAGUACGUACGUUAGCAAGCCUGACAAACGAGGUCGAAAGGAAGAAGUACACAUUCACGUCGAAAGCAGUUCAGUUCCAGCUUCCAGUUCUUCAGUGACACCUAAAGUUACUGCGAAGUCAGCCACCAAGCAGUGUAUCACUUGUGCCGGGGUCUGCAGCAGCGUGGCAUCGUGCAAGAAAUUCCAAGAACUGGAUAUCGGUGCCCGUUGGAAACUGCUUAAAGAAAACAAACUCUGCCGGAAGUGUCUAGCGAAACAUUUUGGAGCAUGUGUCGUCAAGCAAGCUUGCGGAAGAAACGGAUGUUCAUAUAUGCACCACGAAAUGCUGCACGAUGAUUCCAGAAAUCAGCCAAAGGAAAAUUCUCGUACGACAGGUCAACAAGCCAGAACGGAAUCGCCUUCCGAAACGUGCAAUACACACGUAAGCAACGUUAGCAAAGUGCUUUUCCGUUAUGUUCCGGUAAUCCUUCAUGGACGCGGUAAGUCGGUGCUCACCUUCGCCUUUUUGGAUGACGGUUCUUCUGCGACGUUGAUGGAACAUAGCCUUCUGAAGGAACUGAACAUCGAAGGCAAACCGUACCCUCUGUGCCUAGGAUGGACAGCAGAUCAACAACGACAGGAGCCAAACUCUAGGAUGUUGGCGCUCGAGAUUUCCGGAGCACACGAUACGAGUACAUACUGGAUACCAAAGGUGCAUACCGUGGAGAAUCUUGCUCUGCCACGACAAUCUCUUGCGAUGGAGGAAUUAGGUCAGAAGUACCACCACCUGAGGAAUUUACCAGCCGAUUCUUAUCGCAAUGUUCGACCGCGAUUGCUUAUUGGGAUGGAUAACUGCCACUUGGGUCAUGCGUUGGAUAGCAAAGAAGGAGGAAACUUCCAACCAAUCGCCACUGAAACGCGUCUUGGCUGGAUUGUUUUUGGACCAUGCUCUGUAACGUCUCAGCUACCAAUGGAGUUUACUGCGCACCACAGUUUUCACUUGUGCUCGUGUUGCGAGCGGAACGACGCAGAACUGCAUAACACAGUAAAAUCAUACUUUUCACUGGACAGUCUUGGUAUUAUGAGCUCAGUAAAGCCGCUUCUGUCGAAAGACGACGAACGAGCCGAAGAGUUGCUGAAAUCCCAGACACAUGUGAAGGAGGAGCGGUAUGAAACAGGCUUACUUUGGCGAUAUGAUAAUGUCCGAUUGCCAGACAGCAAGACAAUGGCCAUGCGGCGACUGGUGUGUCUAGAGAAGCGAAUGCAACGUGAUCCUGAACUAGCUGAAGUAUUGAAGCAGAAGAUUCAGGACUAUGUACGCAGCGGUUACAUCGAGAAACUGACAGAAAGUCAACUGGCGGAGAAGUUCGAACGUGUCUGGUAUCUUCCUAUCUUUCCGGUAGUGAACCCUAACAAACCGGGAAAACUACGCAUUGUUUGGGAUGCGGCCGCAAAAGUAGCGGGAACUUCGCUGAAUUCCUUCCUGCUCCCUGGUCCAGAUCAGCUAUCUUCCCUUCCGUCUGUCCUACACCGUUUCCGAGAGUUCCGUAUCGCUGUCACAGGCGAUAUCAGAGAAAUGUUUCACCAAGUAUUGGUUAAUAAGGUCGAUCAGCAGUGUCAGCGUUUUUUGUGGCGUGACGGUGAACAAAACCGAAGUCCAGAUAUCUACGUGAUGAAAGUAAUGACGUUCGGGGCUACGUGUUCACCAAGCUGCGCACAAUACGUAAAGAACCAUAAUGCACAGCGAUUCCAGAAACAAUUUCCGAGGGCGACUGAAGCGAUAAUCGAAGAACACUACGUCGACGACAUGCUGACUAGCGAGGAGUCAGAGGAAGGUGCAGUGCAGUUAGCAAAGGAUGUCCGGUUUGUUCAUGCGAAGGCUGGAUUCGAAAUACGGAACUGGCUGUCAAAUUCGAAACGAGUGCUGCAGGAGCUGGAAGCGAACCCUGGAGAAAAAUGUCUUAAUCUGUCGAGCGAGAUGGCAACAGAGAAAGUCCUCGGAAUGUGGUGGUGUACCGCUACCGAUACGUUCACCUACAAGGUUUCUCCGAGGAUUAGCGCAGAUUUACUGCAAGCCCGCAUUAUUCCAACAAAAAGGCAGAUACUGAGCACCCUUAUGAUGAUCUACGAUCCUCUGGGACUGUUAGCUAAUUUUCUGAUGUUCCUCAAAAUCUUACUCCAAGAGAUUUGGCGGAGCGGCGUGAACUGGGAUGACCAGAUUAAGUCCGAUCAGUUCGAGAAGUGGAAGACGUGGCUGCGAGUUUUACCACAGGUCGAGGAUGUCAGCGUGCCCAGGUGUUAUCGAAUGAAGACCGGAGUAGGCAAACAGAAUCUGGUGCAGCUUCAUAUAUUCGUAGACGCUUCAGAGAAUGGAUUCGCUACGGUUGCAUAUCUACGGUUCGAGGAAAACGGAGAAGUCGAAUGCGCACUCAUUGGUGCGAAAACACGGGUAGCUCCAUUGCGAUUCGUGUCAAUUCCUAGACUGGAACUUCAGGCAGCAGUUAUCGGAGCACGCUUGGCGAAUGACAUCAUGGAGACACACAAGUUAAAGCCUGUUCAAAGAUUCUUCUGGUCGGAUUCACGCGACGUACUCUGCUGGAUCAAUUCCGAUCAUCGAAAGUAUAGCCAUUUCGUGGCGGUUCGGGUCAGUGAACUGCUGGAGUUAACAGAGGCAAACGAGUGGAACUGGAUUCCGACAAAAUUGAACGUCGCAGAUGAAGCUACGAAGUGGCAAAAGAUCCCGGAUUUGUCCCCCACAAGUCGAUGGUUCAGAGGUCCUGAGUUUAUGCGAAUGCCGAAAGAACAGUGGCCUGCUACUUUACCGAAGUUCGGUCAAACCGAAGAGGAGAAGCGUACGCAUGUGCUCUUCCAUACUGCACAGCCGGCACUGUUUAGCUGGGAAGAUUUUUCAAAAUGGAAGGUUCUGCUACGCCGUGCUGCGUACGUGAUACGGUUUCCGUCAAAUCUGCGAAAGAAACUGAUGAAGAAGUCCAUAGUCACUAGUCCGCUAACGCAAGAAGAAUUGAAGGAAGCCGAGCUGUUCAUUAUCAAGCUAGUGCAGAAUACUGAAUUUGCCGUAGAGAUAGCGCUGCUGAAGAAACCGAACCCCGUGCCGUGGAAGAACGCGCUGCCGAAGAGUAGCUCGCUGUACAGUCUUAGCCCGUACCUGGAUGAGAUGGGCCUGCUGCGUAUGAAGGGUCGCAUAGAUGCGUGUGAAGCGGUAAAUGAUGAUACAAAGCAUCCAAUACUGCUACCCAAAUGUCAUCCUGUAACAAGUCUCAUCAUCAGCAGUAUACAUGAACGAUUCCGUCACAUGAAUCACCAGACUGUACUGAACGAAAUCCGACGUACGUUCUAUAUACCGCAGCUUCGUUCAACGUACAAUCGGGUUCGAAAAGGAUGUCAACAGUGCAAGAACCUUCAAGCAAGACCCGAUGCUCCGGAAAUGUCAGCCCUUCCGUCCACACGACUGAAAGCGUUUUGCCGCCCGUUUUCGUACAUCGGCAUCGACUAUUUUGGGCCAAUGAACGUAGUUGUAGGCCGUCGGACCGAGAAACGAUGGGGUGUCUUGAUCACCUGCCUCACUGUGCGAGCAAUACACCUCGAGGUUGCUCACAGUCUGACGACGGACUCGUGUAUCCUCGCUAUACGGAACUUUAUCGCCAGAAGAGGUGCUCCUCUUGAAAUAAUCAGUGAUCGUGGCACAAAUUUCGUUGGAGCCAGUCGAGAACUAAGGGAAGCGCUGAGCCAAAUAAACCAGGAUAAACUGAUGGAACACUUCGUCACUACUGACACUAAAUGGUCGUUCAAUCCGCCAGCUUCUCCGCACUUUGGCGGAGCUUGGGAGCGACUUGUCCAAUCCGUAAAGAAAGCCCUAAAACAAACCCAACUCACACGCACACCCACUGACGAGCUACUAAGAAAUAUGUUGGCUGAAGUCGAGAUGAUCGUCAACUCACGACCGUUAACCGAACUGCCGUUAGACGAUGAGCUGUCUCAAGCGUUGACCCCGAACCAUUUUCUGCUCGGUUCGUCAGAUGGUACUAAGCCCCCGAUCGCGUUCGACGACAGCAGCCACGCCCUCAAGCAUACCUGGAAGAUGUCGCAAGUCUACGCUAACAGAUUCUGGCAACGAUGGAUCGCCGAAUACCUGCCAAACUUGACCCGAAGGACGAAAUGGUUUCGUCCAGCGAUGCCCAUUGCGGAAGGAGACAUCGUUAUAGUUGUGGACGAGACCCUGCCAAGGAACUGCUGGCCGAGAGGUCGGGUGGUCCGUACCAUUCGUUCCAAGGAUGGACAGGUUCGCCGGGCUCUGGUGCAAACAGCAACUGGAGUGUUGGAGAGACCAGCAGUGAAACUAGCGGUAUUGGAUGUUGGUGCAACUGUAAGUACGUCGGACCAGUGACCUCGAAGUACUGGGGGGGAGUGUCGCAACUUCACGUUGCGCCGCACCAUACAUCCAAACACCUCAAGAAUGCGAACCUUUCAAUAUCAUACCCCGACGAAAGCCUCUACUGUAGAUAUACAGCCUUGUAGUAGAAUGUCAUGUCAGGUAGCUAUUGAUAUAGAAGAAGCGUCAACUAUUGUCAGAUAGGAAAAACAUGCAAGUAACGUUGGAAGGUAGGCGUGCGGUGUAAAUCACGAUUAGUUAGUUAAAAUUUGCUUAAAAUCUACUAUUUUUCUACUUAAUAUUAAUCUCUUUUUACGUAUUACAGUUAAAAUUCUUAAUACUAAGUGAAUUUGCUUAUCCUAGACUAAAAGUGAACUAAAAAACAACACAAAUAGUACGGCGUAGGAAUCACAGGUUAGUUUCUAUGCUGUUGAUACGAAAGUAGAAAAUUCUCUAAAAAUUAAACUUAAUUAUACAGCCUUUAUCCGUGAAAUCUUCCCGAAACGGUAGUAAACGUGUGACAAACUAAAAACACGUUCAAUUCAGCAAGCUCUCAUCCGAUCUUGAAGUUAAACGCAAUACCGAGAACACAGAAGAGAUACUAAACGUGAGUAAACCUUUUUUUAUAAAGAUAUUUGAAUUAGACUUACACAAAGAAACCAAAACUUAAAACCAAUAUGUACAACAUAAAACAAAAAAAUGUACAACACUUUGCCUAUGAUUAUCUACUCCAUAGGAAUUUUUUAACGUUGUCCCAAAUAAACUACGUUCAGAAAAUUGGACAUCUGUCUCUUUUUCGUUGCAAUU